rnacentral:lncRNA from 1 species
AGACCGUGUCACCAGUGUCAGGCUGGGAGAUGCUACUGUUACAGGCCGUCCUCCGGGGGGCAUCACUCGACAUCUCCUUCUUUUCCCCCCACGCAGAUGACAGAGAUGGAAAUACUGAGGCGACAAUGUCGAGGAGAUCAUUAUAUGGACUGUACCCCUACAAGUCCAGCAUGCUUGGACUGGAGACUCUAGGCGAUCCAUCAGGUGACUGGGAUAUAGUGGAAACCAUUGGCAAAGGAACUUAUGGAAAGGUCUACAGAGUGACCAACAAAAAAGAUGGGAGCCAGGCAGCAGUGAAAGUGCUGGACCCGAUUAAUGAUGUGGAUGAGGAGAUUGAGGCAGAAUACAACAUACUGAGGUCCCUGCCCAACCAUCCUAACGUGGUGAAGUUUUAUGGCAUGUUUUAUAAGUCGGACAAAUUAACUGGCGGACAGCUCUGGCUGGUACUGGAGCUGUGCAACGGCGGCUCUGUCACAGAGCUCAUCAAAAGCCUGCUGAUGCGUGGCCAGCGUCUGCAGGAGCCUGUUAUCGCAUACAUCUUAUGCAGUGCCCUCUUGGGGCUCCAGCAUUUGCACAACAACCGGAUUAUCCAUCGUGACGUCAAAGGCAACAACAUCCUCCUGACAACUGAGGGAGGAGUCAAACUGGUUGACUUUGGUGUUUCAGCGCAACUGACGAGCGCACGACUGCGGAGGAACACGUCAGUCGGGACACCGUUUUGGAUGGCUCCUGAGGUCAUAGCCUGUGAACAGCAGUACGACUACUCCUAUGAUGCCCGCUGCGAUGUGUGGUCUCUCGGCAUCACAGCCAUCGAGCUGGCAGACGGAGAUCCCCCUCUGGCUGAGAUGCAUCCAGUAAAAGCCCUUUUCAAGAUCCCACGAAAUCCCUCACCCACAUUACGACAUCCUGAAGAGUGGAGCAGGAGUUUCAGCCAUUUCAUCAGCCAGUGCCUGAUAAAGGAUUUUGAGGCACGUCCAUCUGUGACCCACCUUCUGGAGCACCCUUUCAUCAAGCAGGCCCAUGGCAAGGACAUAGCUCUCCGUCAGCAGUUAGCAGCUCUCAUCCAAGAGCAGCAUCUCGUGUCCUUGACUUCAUACAGGCACGUCCGGAUCAAUACUCGUAAAACCCUCAUAAUAGAGAGCUGUCCUGAUGAUGAUCUGGUGAACCUGGAGUUCUUAGACGAGGAGACAAUCAUCAGCCAUCUCCACAAGAGGUAUGAUGAGCUGCAGGUGUACACUUACGUCGGUGACAUCCUCAUUGCUCUCAAUCCUUUCCAGAAUCUCAGCAUCUACUCUCCUCAGUUCUCUAAGCUGUACCAUGGCGUAAAGCGAGCUGACAACCCUCCACACAUCUUUGCUACUGCAGAUGCAGCUUACCAAGGCAUGGUGACAUUCUGCAAAGACCAGUGUAUCAUCAUUAGUGGAGAAAGCGGUGCUGGGAAAACAGAAAGUGCUCAUUUAAUUGUUCAACAUCUUACUUUCCUGGGAAAGGCAAACAAUCGGACACUUCGUGAGAAGAUUUUGCAGGUUAACCCUCUCGUCGAGGCCUUUGGGAACGCUUGCACGGCAAUCAAUGACAACUCCAGCCGCUUUGGCAAGUACCUAGAGAUGAAGUUCACGCCGACAGGAGCGGUUAUUGGGGCCAAGAUAUCUGAAUACCUGCUGGAGAAGUCGAGGGUCAUCAAACAGGCUCCAGGGGAGGAAAAUUUCCACAUAUUCUAUUACAUAUAUGCCGGCCUUUACCACCAAGACGAGCUGAAGACUUACAGCCUGCCAGAUGGGACACCUCCCAGGUUUGUGAUUCAGCACUGCAAAGUGAUGCAAGACAUUGUGUCAAGGAAACAAUAUAAAGAGCAGUUUGAUGCCAUUCAGGAGUGUUUCCGAAAUAUCGGCUUUACAGAAGAGGAGGUCGACUCUGUUUACAAAAUUCUCUCAGCAAUUUUGAAUACUGGGAAUAUUGAAUUUGCCUCCAUCACAUCCCAGCAUCAGACCGAUAAGAGUGAAGUGCCUAACUCAGAGGCCUUAGAGAACGCUGCGUCUCUCCUCAGCAUUGGACCCGAGGAGCUCCAGGAAGCACUUACCUCUCAGUGUGUGGUCACGAGGGGCGAAACCAUCAUCCGCACCAACACCGUGGACAAAGCAGCCGAUGUCCGAGACGCCAUGUCCAAGGCCUUGUACGGACGGCUGUUCAGCUGGAUAGUGAAUCGCAUCAACUCACUCCUGCAGCCUGACAUGAAUAGCGGCAUGAAUGUGGGAAUCCUGGACAUCUUUGGAUUUGAAAACUUCCAGAAGAACUCGUUUGAGCAAUUGUGCAUCAACAUCGCAAACGAGCAGAUUCAGUUUUAUUUCAACCAGCACAUAUUUGCUCUCGAACAGAUGGAAUACCAGAGCGAGGAAGUUGAUGCCAGCCUGGUGGAGUAUGAGGACAACAGGCCCAUUCUGGACAUGUUUCUGCAGAAGCCCAUGGGUCUGCUGUCCCUGCUGGAUGAAGAGAGCCGCUUCCCUCAGGCCACCGACCAGACCCUAGUGGAUAAGUUUGAGGACAAUUUGCGCUGCAAAUAUUUUUGGAUACCAAAACGAGUGGAGCUUUGUUUUGGAAUUCAGCACUAUGCCGGACAGGUAAUGUACAAUGUGAAUGGCUUUUUGGAGAAAAACAGAGACACUCUCCCUGCAGACAUCGUUGUGUACUCCCUGAUGGACCUGCUGUCUAAGAUGGUCGUGGGCCAGCCACACUUUGUGCGCUGCAUCAAACCUAAUGAUGACAGGCAGGCACUGCUCUUCUGCAAGGAGCGAGUGAUGGUGCAGCUGCGUUACACUGGGAUCCUGGAGACGGUGAACAUCCGCCGCCAAGGCUACUCCCACCGCAUCCUGUUUGAAGACUUUGUCAACAGAUAUUACUAUCUUGCAUUUCGGGCUCACGAGAUGCCUGAAACCAGCAAAGAAAACGCUGUUGCCAUACUGGAGAGGGCCAAAUUAAAAGACUGGGUGCUGGGAAAGACCAAGGUUUUUCUGAAAUACUACCAUGUGGAACAACUGAACCUGCUGCUGCGGGAAGUGAUAGCUCGGGUGGUGGUGAUGCAAGCUUACACUAAAGGCUGGCUCGGGGCCCGGCGUUAUCGAAAAGAGAAGGAGAAGAGAAGCCGUGGGGCCACAAUCAUCCAGUCAGCCUGGAGGGGCUAUGUUGCUCGGCAGAACCUCAAGCAAAUCAAAAAAGAGCGGGAAGAGGCAGCUGUCCGCAUACAAUCAGGUAAAGAAAUGUUUAAAUUUUCACAUGAGUUCAAAUAUUCAAGUGGAGACAUCUGGAAUUUCUCACGCGGCCCCAUGUCCGGUGGAAAUUCGCGCCACUGUUUUCAUACAUUUUCAAAAGGAAACGGGAUAAAGGCCUGGAAACCUUACAUCUUUGUGAAACACCUUUUUGAUCUCCAUGAGUGGCCUACGAAAUAG